rnacentral:rRNA from 1 species
CAUGCCCCUUAUGCUUAGGGCUACACACGUGCUACAAUGGGUAGUACAGAGGGUUGCCAAGCCGUAAGGUGGAGCUAAUCCCUUAAAGCUACUCUCAGUUCGGAUUGUAGGCUGAAACUCGCCUACAUGAAGCUGGAGUUACUAGUAAUCGCAGAUCAGAAUGCUGCGGUGAAUACGUUCCCGGGUCUUGUACACACCGCCCGUCACACCACGGGAGUUGGAGACGCCCGAAGCCGAUUAUCUAACCUUUUGGAAGAAAUCGUCGAAGGUGGAAUCAAUAACUGGGGUGAAGUCGUAACAAGGUAGCCGUAUCGGAAGGUGCGGCUGGAUCACCUCCUUUCUAAGGAGA